ensembl:lncRNA
CAUGAACUGCCUUUGUUUUAUUUGCUCUCUGUUGUCCACUUAUAAUGUUAUCAAGAUUUUUACAUCAAAAAACAUCAUUAUUUAGAAGAUAGGCUAUUUUCUGUCGUUUUAGCCCCCCUCAUCAGUUUGAAUAGGCGUGGGCGGAUUGAAACCUGUGUUCACCUCUCUCAUAAACACUAUAUGCGUGGGCGGGGCUAAACAGACAAUGAUGUAGAAUCGGUGGGCGGGGCUAAACAAGCAGUGCUGUAGAAUUGGUGGGCGGGGCUAAACAAGCAGUGCUGUAGAAUCGGUGGGCGGGGCUAAACAGGCAAUGCUAUAGAAUCAGUGGGGGGGCUAAACAGGCAGUGCUGUAGAACCGGUGGGCGGGGCUAAACAAUAGGCUAUUUUCUGUCAUUUCAGCCCCCUCAUCAGUUUGAAUAGGCGUGGGUGGAUUGAAACCUGUGUGUUCACCUCUCUCAUAAAGACUAUAUGCGUGGGCGGGGCUAAACAGACAAUGAUGUAGAAUCGGUGGGCAAUCGGUGGGCGGGGCUAAACAAGCAGUGCUGUAGAAUCGGUGGGCGGGGCUAAACAGGCAGUGCUGUAGAACCGGUGAGCGGGGCUAAACAGGCAAUGCUGUAGAAUGGUGGGCGGGGCUAAACAGGCAAGGCUGUAGAAUGGUGGGCGGGGCUAAACAGGCAAGGCUGUAGAAUGGUGGGCGGGGCUAAACAGGCAAUGCUGUAGAAUCGGUGGGCGGGGCUAAACAGACAGUGCUGUAGAAUCGGUAGGCGGGGCUAAACAGACAACGCUUUAGAAUGUGUGGGCGGGGCUAAACAGGCUAUGCUUUAGAAUCGGUGGGCGGAGCUAAACAGGCAAUGCUGUAGAAUCGGUGGGCGGGGCUUAAUAUGCAGUGCUGUAGAAUCGGUGGGCGGGGCUAAACAAACAACGCGUUAGAAUGUAUGGGCGGGGCUAAACAGGCUAUGCUUUAGAAUCGGUGGGCGGAGCUAAACAGGCAAUGCUGUAGAAUCGGUGGGCGGGGCUAAACAGGCAGUGCUGUAGAAUCGGUCGGCGGUUUAUUAUUUGCACGCGUUUUAAAGCCAUA